GCGGAGGGAUCAUUACCGAGUCUAACAACUCAUCAACCCUGUGAACAUACCUAAACGUUGCUUCGGCGGGAACAGACGGCCCCGUAACACGGGCCGCCCCCGCCAGAGGACCCCCUAACUCUGUAUCUGUAAUGUUUUUUCUGAGUAAACAAGCAAAUAAAUUAAAACUUUCAACAACGGAUCUCUUGGCUCUGGCAUCGAUGAAGAACGCAGCGAAAUGCGAUAAGUAAUGUGAAUUGCAGAAUUCAGUGAAUCAUCGAAUCUUUGAACGCACAUUGCGCCCGCCAGUAUUCUGGCGGGCAUGCCUGUUCGAGCGUCAUUACAACCCUCAGGCCCCCGGGCCUGGCGUUGGGGAUCGGCGGAGCCCUCUGUGGCACACGCCGUCCCCCAAAUACAGUGGCGGUCCCGCCGCAGCUUCCAUUGCGUAGUAGCUAACACCUCGCAACUGGAGAGCGGCGCGGCCACGCCGUAAAACACCCAACUUCUGAAUGUUGACCUCGAAUCAGGUAGGAAUACCCGCUGAACUUAAGCAUAU
rnacentral:rRNA from 1 species